CUCUAAGGCAGAGGAAUAAACACUUAGUCAUGGUUUUAUGGGGGUGAGUAUUGUUCUUUAAUUAGAAUUUCUAAGGUCUGACAGUCUAGGACGUUUUAUCAGAAUAAGUGCAAAUCAUUUCUUAUCCUCUGUAAAAAAUGAGGGGCUCAUUUUUUUUUUCCCUGAAGGUUUUAGGUUCCACAUUAAUCACUGCCUUUAUUUGGGACAAAUGUGGAAUUGGUAAAAGUUUCUCUUUACCUAUGACUUAAUGCUUUUCAGGCUACUAUGCCCAGAAAGAUACCAUUGUUAUAAAUGUACAUGAUUUGUGCAGCGACACAUUGGCAGAUUUCUCCAUGUUGUCAUCUUGUAGUGAAAAUUGAGAACUUGGAGCUGUUUGGAGGGAAAAGAGAAACUGUGCCAAUGUCAGGUGCAUAUUUCUGCCACUACUUCUUGUGGCUUUUCUGAAAUAUGUUUGUUAGAGUUACACAGAGAUUUUUGUAUUUUAUUUCCAAAUGGUCACAAACUUAAAUAUUGACAGUUAAGACCUGUUCAACAAACAUGCCCAUGCAAACUCAUGACUCCCUUCCUAAGCCUUCUUAAGAAAUAUUCUUGGGGAUGGGGUUGUGUUGGGAGUUAGGGGAGAGCAGGCUAGACUAUUUUCUAACAGAAUGGAGUAGUGACACAUCUCUUUGGGAGCUAGAAAUGCCUGGUUCCUUCUGUGUUCCCCUAUCUUUAUAUCAAAGAGAGAUAAUAAUAACUCAAACUUAUAGCACUUUAAUGUUCACACAGACUUUAAAAGUAUCUAGGAAGUGUACAGCUACUUUUUAGAGAGUUACUACUUGUAUUAUAUAGUAAUAUACCAUUUAAUAUUGUAUAUAUUUAUCAAAAAUUGAGACCAUCUGGUAUGAACUUUCCCAUUUGUAUAGACAAACAUGUCCCACUUUUGAGGCAAGUCCUUGGUUUCUCACAGCCUGUGCGUCUGGGGAGUGAAAGUUUUGCCUGAUUCUACCCUGCUGGCAAUGGAGUUAAGUGACUUGCCCAGGGUCACCCAGCCUAGUUUGGUAUCACCAUGGAGGACCGUGUGCCGGGUGGGUACUUCCCACGUGAUACUUUGCCAUCAGGGACCUGUCUUUGCAAGGAGGUUUGGACAUUACUGAAAAACAGUUGUUUUUAAAGUCUUGUAGUGGCUGUGGCAUUGAGAACUCGCUCACCUGAAAACAGGGCUAUGUAAUAAUAUGCCAUUGAUCAUAUUAGGGAUAAUUACAAAAAUAACUAGCAUUUAUAUAGAGCUUACUGUGUGUACCAGCUACUGUGCUAAUCACUUUA